rnacentral:rRNA from 1 species
GACGAACGCUGGCGGCGUGCCUAAUACAUGCAAGUCGAGCGAGCUUGCCUAGAUGAAUUUGGUGCUUGCACCAAAUGAAACUAGAUACAAGCGAGCGGCGGACGGGUGAGUAACACGUGGGUAACCUGCCCAAGAGACUGGGAUAACACCUGGAAACAGAUGCUAAUACCGGAUAACAACACUAGACACAUGUCUAGAGUUUAAAAGAUGGUUCUGCUAUCACUCUUGGAUGGACCUGCGGUGCAUUAGCUAGUUGGUAAGGUAACGGCUUACCAAGGCAAUGAUGCAUAGCCGAGUUGAGAGACUGAUCGGCCACAUUGGGACUGAGACACGGCCCAAACUCCUACGGGAGGCAGCAGUAGGGAAUCUUCCACAAUGGACGCAAGUCUGAUGGAGCAACGCCGCGUGAGUGAAGAAGGGUUUCGGCUCGUAAAGCUCUGUUGGUAGUGAAGAAAGAUAGAGGUAGUAACUGGCCUUUAUUUGACGGUAAUUACUUAGAAAGUCACGGCUAACUACGUGCCAGCAGCCGCGGUAAUACGUAGGUGGCAAGCGUUGUCCGGAUUUAUUGGGCGUAAAGCGAGUGCAGGCGGUUCAAUAAGUCUGAUGUGAAAGCCUUCGGCUCAACCGGAGAAUUGCAUCAGAAACUGUUGAACCUGAGUGCAGAAGAGGAGAGUGGAACUCCAUGUGUAGCGGUGGAAUGCGUAGAUAUAUGGAAGAACACCAGUGGCGAAGGCGGCUCUCUGGUCUGCAACUGACGCUGAGGCUCGAAAGCAUGGGUAGCGAACAGG